AGACGUGGCCAUAUCAUGUCGAAAGUACCGGUUCUUGUCCAAAGUUAUGCAACGUUGAAACUAAUUAGUACUGAGAUGGGUCACUGCUUAGGAAACUAUGGUGCUGUGAAUA
rnacentral:rRNA from 1 species